rfam:Klebsiella pneumoniae ISC21, WGS project CBWQ01000000 data, contig: c24
AGGGGUCGCUGAAUUAGAGAUCGGCACCCUUUCUUUCUUUUAAUUUUUGGAGUUAUAAAAAUGUCUCUAAGCGUUGAAGCUAAAGCAAAAAUCGUUUCUGAGUUUGGUCGUGGCGAA